AAAGUAGCAGAGUUAAACCAGACUCACCGGUUAACUAUCAAACCUACUUGCAGUAUUGUUUGUUUGAAAAGCUGCAUGCGAUCAUUCAUCUUAAUUGUUCGGUUUCUUACUCCUCUGCAAAUCAUACUUAUUACCAUAACGUGAUCUAGAAGUUUCAACAAGAGGCUGAUGCAUAGAAAGCUGAUGAAGAAGCUGAAACUGCGGGUAAUGUAAGAAGUCACUGCUUUGCUCAUUUUAUCAUAUGCUUUAGUGAUGAACCUCCUUUUUGUAAAAUCAUAUUUGUUUGUCCGGUUCUGUUUGUGCAUGUAU